rnacentral:piRNA from 1 species
UGCAUCAAUAGAUUUCUCACU